rnacentral:rRNA from 1 species
UACUGCGAAGGGGGGACGGAGAAGGCUAUGUUGGCCGGGCGACGGUUGUCCCGGUUUAAGCGUGUAGGCUGGUUUUCCAGGCAAAUCCGGAAAAUCAAGGCUGAGGCGUGAUGACGAGGCACUACGGUGCUGAAGCAACAAAUGCCCUGCUUCCAGGAAAAGCCUCUAAGCAUCAGGUAACAUCAAAUCGUACCCCAAACCGACACAGGUGGUCAGGUAGAGAAUACCAAGGCGCUUGAGAGAACUCGGGUGAAGGAACUAGGCAAAAUGGUGCCGUAACUUCGGGAGAAGGCACGCUGAUAUGUAGGUGAAGUCCCUCGCGGAUGGAGCUGAAAUCAGUCGAAGAUACCAGCUGGCUGCAACUGUUUAUUAAAAACACAGCACUGUGCAAACACGAAAGUGGACGUAUACGGUGUGACGCCUGCCCGGUGCCGGAAGGUUAAUUGAUGGGGUCAGCGCAAGCGAAGCUCUUGAUCGAAGCCCCGGUAAACGGCGGCCGUAACUAUAACGGUCCUAAGGUAGCGAAAUUCCUUGUCGGGUAAGUUCCGACCUGCACGAAUGGCGUAAUGAUGGCCAGGCUGUCUCCACCCGAGACUCAGUGAAAUUGAACUCGCUGUGAAGAUGCAGUGUACCCGCGGCAAGACGGAAAGACCCCGUGAACCUUUACUAUAGCUUGACACUGAACAUUGAGCCUUGAUGUGUAGGAUAGGUGGGAGGCUUUGAAGUGUGGACGCCAGUCUGCAUGGAGCCGACCUUGAAAUACCACCCUUUAAUGUUUGAUGUUCUAACGUGGACCCGUGAUCCGGGUUGCGGACAGUGUCUGGUGGGUAGUUUGACUGGGGCGGUCUCCUCCUAAAGAGUAACGGAGGAGCACGAAGGUUGGCUAAUCCUGGUCGGACAUCAGGAGGUUAGUGCAAUGGCAUAAGCCAGCUUGACUGCGAGCGUGACGGCGCGAGCAGGUGCGAAAGCAGGUCAUAGUGAUCCGGUGGUUCUGAAUGGAAGGGCCAUCGCUCAACGGAUAAAAGGUACUCCGGGGAUAACAGGCUGAUACCGCCCAAGAGUUCAUAUCGACGGCGGUGUUUGGCACCUCGAUGUCGGCUCAUCACAUCCUGGGGCUGAAGUAGGUCCCAAGGGUAUGGCUGUUCGCCAUUUAAAGUGGUACGCGAGCUGGGUUUAGAACGUCGUGAGACAGUUCGGUCCCUAUCUGCCGUGGGCGCUGGAGAACUGAGGGGGGCUGCUCCUAGUACGAGAGGACCGGAGUGGACGCAUCACUGGUGUUCGGGUUGUCAUGCCAAUGGCACUGCCCGGUAGCUAAAUGCGGAAGAGAUAAGUGCUGAAAGCAUCUAAGCACGAAACUUGCCCCGAGAUGAGUUCUCCCUGACCCUUUAAGGGUCCUGAAGGAACGUUGAAGACGACGACGUUGAUAGGCCGGGUGUGUAAGCGCAGCGAUGCGUUGAGCUAACCGGUACUAAUGAACCGUGAGGCUUAACCUUACAACGCCGAAGGUGUUU